AAGUCGUAACAAGGUUUCCGUAGGUGAACCUGCGGAAGGAUCAUUAACGAAUAUCUAUGGCGUUGGUUGUAGCUGGCUCUUAGGAGCAUCUUGUGCACACCCGUCAUUCAUAUCAUCUUUCCACCUGUGAACCAUGUGUAGGCCUGGAUACCCCUCGCUUUGGCAACAAAGCGGAUGCAAGGAUUGCUGUGUCGACAAGGCCGGCUCUCUUUGAAUUUCCAGGUUCUAUGUCUUUUACACACCCCAUUUGAAUGAUGUAGAAUGUAGUCAAUGGGCUUUCAUGCCUAUAAAACACUAUACAACUUUCAGCAACGGAUCUCUUGGCUCUC
rnacentral:misc_RNA from 1 species